UAGAGUUUGAUCCUGGCUCAGGACGAACGCWGGCGGCGUGCCUAACACAUGCAAGUCGAACGGAGAUUCCAGCAAUGGAAUCUUAGUGGCGAACGGGUGAGUAACGCGUAGACAACCUGCCUUCUAGAUGGGGACAACACUGCGAAAGUGGUGCUAAUACCAAAUGUUGUAUCUUGUGCGCAUGUAUAAGAUACCAAAGGUGGCCUCUGAAUAUGCUACCGCUAGAAGAUGGGUCUGCGUCCGAUUAGCUAGUUGGUGAGGUAACGGCUCACCAAGGCGACGAUCGGUAGCUGGUCUGAGAGGAUGACCAGCCUCACUGGGACUGAGACACGGCCCAGACUCCUACGGGAGGCAGCAGUGGGGAAUAUUGGACAAUGGGCGCAAGCCUGAUCCAGCCAUGCCGCGUGAGUGAUGAAGGCCUUAGGGUUGUAAAGCUCUUUUAGCAGGGAAGAUAAUGACGGUACCUGCAGAAAAAGCCCCGGCUAACUUCGUGCCAGCCGCCGCGGUAAUAC
rnacentral:rRNA from 1 species